rnacentral:lncRNA from 1 species
UCGCUCUCGUGUGUCGUGGGUGACCGGAUUCGGAUCGGAGACGUGCCGCCGUUGGAUUGCGUUUGACCGGGUAACCGGCGAUUACUUUCGGGUUUCGGAGGGCGGGUGGGAUAAUGACAGCCAGCCAGGCACAGGCAAAGCAGAGCGCGGCGACAGGCGACAGCCGGAGACCGGACGGAAUACGGUGGCUGGCGCGGGGGUGGGAAAUUACCGCGUUGCCCCUACCCCGGGGAGCAGGCCGGGGCGGCACGCGGCAGGGGCAAGGCGGGGAUUUCGCGUGGGGCGGCGCGGUGUCAGGGGGUGAGCUGGUCGCCGUUGGUCGGUUUGCGUUUCGGGGCCGCCGAAAGAGGGGAGAGGAGAGAGAGAGAAACGCGCCGAGGAUGAUGGGGAAGGGAGAGGAGACUCGCGAACCGAAGACACCGCUGCUCCUCGCUCUGUACUCCAGUCUAGGCUUCUAGCUAGACUCGGCGCGGUGGAGUGGGUGGGUGAAGAGACUGAGGCGCGGGGCCCGCGUGCAAGCAGGCAGGGCGGGCAAUUAUUGUCGCCUCUGGUGCCGUCGCUCGGUACAGAGGACGGACGGACGGACGGCGUGGGCAAAAUUUAAUCGGCGUGCAGCAGGUGCCGGCUGCCGCCUGCAGGCGCCGGUCCUUCGGAUUGAUCGGUGGAUGGAUGCACUCGCCAAUGGCAAUUCAUCCAUCAAACAUCAUUCGUUACUGUAUAUUUUGUGGCAAAUCAAGAUUAGAGGUUCAUCAUCCGUUUACCGUUUUGGUUUGUCCCCUGGCGUCAUCAUCACCGUCUGGGCUUUGGAACUGACAAUAUGGUUCUUUCGGUGAAAUUCAGGUGAAAGUAAAACUCCACCGGUAGAUAGCAGCGGCCAUGGUGCCGUCGUGGGAACAGAGCAGUACGUACGUUACGGGCUCGCGUCAAAUCCUCGACGGAACCGUGCCCGCUGCACCGGUGGGUGAACAGAACACCAUAAAUCCCUCGCGGCCGUGGAGAGAAGUCAGGGGAACCGCGUGUACGUACGUGGUCCUCUCCUGCUAGCUAUAGCUAGGCUGCCCCGUGCGACCGGCGGCGAGGAAACGGCACGCUCGGGAGCCGUCAACAUUGAAUCGGAGGGCCGGGCGGCCGCGAUAGCGUAGCGACCAGCGAGAUACUCAGUCAGUACGGGCUACUUCGGGCUGUCACGCACGCACCGAGCCGGACGGCCGGGCCGACGCGUCGGGCUUGGGAACCACCGGCGCCGCAGGGGCGGGCUCGGACCGCGUCCAACGCCGCAGGCUUUGCAAAGCUUGCGUUGCGUGUACCCCACGCUACCACGCGGGUCCCCUCCACCAAUCAAUUCCAGGCCGGACGGACGGCCGGUACCGUGUACCGACGCGUCGCCCGCCGGAUCUCCGUGGCGUUUUCCUUUGCCUUUAGUUGUGUACCCGCCCCGCUUCACGCCGGCCUUGUGCGGCAGUUGUGUACACACACGCACGCACUUGUACUACUACUGGUGGCCUUGGACUUUGCUGGUUGCUGGUGCGCACCCAGCUUUUUGCGAACGGUUCCGGGAAACGCCGGCGGAAACUUGUGCGGCGGGUCGGUCGGUUGCCGGGGAAGGAAGGAUUCUUCACACAAGCAACGUGAGAUCUGACCAAGGGGAGCAGCAGCCAGCCAGCACGAGCAGCAGUUCGGCGCUGGAGCUACGCGCGAGCUGGGGCAGGAGCUACACGCCAUGUACGUUGCGUCCCCGGGCCGGUUUGAUUUACGACCGGAAGAGCCGCAGCGUUUCCGGCGCGAUGACCGGACAAAUUAGCCGGCUUGGCCGAUGGCUAUACUAUAUCGGAUUGGACAUAUGGAGUGAUAGUGCUCCCGACAGGUAGGAGACGGACGGACGAGAGCGAGUAAACUGCUGCCUGCGACUCUGCGAGUCCUGCCGUGCACGGCUCCAUGGACGGACCGCACGUCCAUGGCCUGUGUAGCUCCGACCGCACCGGACGCAGGCAAGCGGGACGUGCUGUUCAUCCUGCAGACGGGACUGACCCAAGUUAUUGGAGACGCGUCGGCAUUGAAGCCUUUUCCAUUCUCAGGAGCAUGACGUAAUCACGGGAUCACGCACGGCGUGGGCAAAAGAUUACCAGCCGCGCCGCGCGUGCCUGACUGCCUGUGCAGCUGUGCUAUUUUGAGUGCAGAAUACAGUUCUUCAGAACCGCGCCUGUUUUUUGAGGCUAACUGAACAUGCAGUUCCAUACAAUUUCAAAACUCUACGUAUAAUACGGAAGGGUAAAAGAUACUGAGGCGGUCGAGACCACUGUCGCGACACGCGAAGCCUGAAAUCGUAGCGGAUUUACUUUUUCUUUCUCUCGGGGCAACGUCCAGCAACAGCAAGUGACUGCUUGCCGGUUCAUCUGGCCGGACUGAAGGUGCAGAACUAUCUGCUUCCAUGACCAUGUCAUCUUACUGAACUGAUGUUGAUGUUGAUCGAACGGAAACUUGGUAUUAGUGCAAUUUGCAUUUGGUAGACGGGGGGUGGGAUGAAGAAGCUGCAGCGCAUUGGUCAGGGCAGCAGAUGGAAAACGCUGGAGACGGAGGUCAAAGAAGACGCGCGUAAAGGAACCGGUCAGAACAGUGACUUCCUUACUGGAUUUAGGUGACAGGCUGAAAAUUGUUUAUACUUUGGCACGUUGCCUGGGACACAGCAGUGGACAAGUUCGGUUCGGAGAAUUCUAUCCUCCAGUCAUGUUCCUUCUCGGUGAUUAACUAUCAGCUCAUCUGCCAAUCACAUGUUCUGUGGUGACAGCAGCCAGCAAAAAUAACCGAACGGAUUAGUGAUCGCCUAGAUUAUGUAGCUCAAUUUGCAUGCGUAGUUUCAAACGGUAUAAAACGAUGCCUUCGAAGAAAUGGGAGUAGUAAAAAACAUGUGGACUCGAUUUGGGCCGGGCCGCGAUAUCUUCGGUUCUCCACCCUCUUACGCGCAGCGUUUCUUCUCAGUGUCUGCUCAUCACUUGCGUUAGCUUGUAUUGUUUGCCUUCGCUUAAUAUUAGUGCCAUGUUAUCAUGGCUCCAUCGCCCAGUCGAACGCCGGCUAUCAGUUCAAAUUAUGGAUAGUCUAUUGGCUUUGAAUAAUGCGUGUCCUUGCUCUGAUUCCGUUGAGUGUCAUUCCAAGAGUAGGUAUCUAUCAGAAGAAUUUUCAGCAAAUGUCAGUGCUGCUUGAAGUCAACGAGUACUAAUCACAACAUGUGUGAACAUUUGCCAUCCUCCUGCGGUGCACUCUGACCUGCAUUGGAGAGCUGUAUUGCAGCCUGAAGGUCUUCUUCUCUAUUCUACUUCUACAUAUCUACCCACGUGUAUAUGCAGUAUCCUCCGAUGGUUUAGCCCAUGGGCAAUGCAGUUGUCUGCUUCAAUUCUUGGUGUUUCAGAACUAGUAGUACUACUAGAUAUGAUCAGUAUGCUGGGGACAGGACAGUAUGAAUGUACGAUAGAUAAGGUCCUAGAACAUGGGCCACAGGUUAUGCAGAUCGCAGACACGAGUGUUUGGCUGGAACUGAUCUCCGAAUGCGAGACUCCGAGAAACGUUGAUGCCGCUUUCUGUCGAUCACCUUGAGCCAUUGUCCGUCUGCUGGCCUGGCAGGGAAAGUCUACGGAAUGCCAUCUCGAAAGCCAUGGAAAUUCUGUUUUGCCUGACAGAACUCUGGCGUACAUGAGCAACAGCGACCGGAGCGUGGUUUGCCUGCGUGCUUGACUGUAUGGUCACGACGAACACGAGGUGGCGACCAUCCGCCGCGUUAUCCAGGACUGCACCCGUCAGAGAAGGAUCCUUCACUUUUUGGGAAUCCAAUCACUUCGGGAUCCAUCAGAGCAGAAGACACGGCCAUUUCGCCGGCGGCUUUCCCCAUACAGUGCACAUCUCGUGAACUUCCGUCCAUAUUUUCUGGCCAAAUUUGCAAAGGAUUUGUGCUUUUCAGAGUGCAGCAAACGUAGCAAUACCAGGAAACUACGGAGUAGAAUAGGAAGGAACGUACGCCUGUUUGUUCGGGCGGCAAAGUCAGAGCGACACUCUCUCUACUUUGUUUGUUCGUCAGGCCAGGACGCCCGCCAAACCCGACAUGGAUAACUCCAUUAUUGACGAUGGAAAGUAGAAAUCUGACCCCGGGGGCACUAGCAGACGACACUAUCCACAUUGUCUUCACACACCGAGAAUAUGACAAAAUAACAUGCAUUCUUAAUUCACCUAUCGUCCCCAGUACACACCAUCAGAAAACAUCUUCGAUCUUCUAAGGCGUGGAUGCAUUAGGGGUGCGUAUAAAAAUAAUCAUACUCCUUCCGAUACAUAAAAAGUUUCCCACAUUUAGUACAAAAUAUGUACUCCCUCCGUCGAACAAAGGAUGUUUCAACUUUGAUUAAAUUUGAAUGCAUCUAUACACUAAGUCAUGUCUAGAUACAUUUAAAUUUUGACAAACUUGAGACAUCUUUUGUUGGACGGAGGGAGUACUAAUUUUAGUACAAAAUGUGUGACACUUUUUAUGAAUGGGGGGAGUAUCUCCUAGACUCUUUUGAUUCAAAUGAGUUAAUCCUUCAGAAUUUUUUCUAUGUAGGCUUAUUUCAUUCGUAGGAUUAGAUUUUAGUGGAAAUUUGCCUAUGGUUCACUUUGCACUGCAGUGAUGCAAACCAGAUUCCGCGAAAACCCACUUCUAGUUCAUUUUUCAAAUCUUCAAUUCAAAUUUUGAGCAAAAAUUUGGAUAAAAGACUUGAGAAUUGAACUAAAAGUUGACCAUCAAUGGGAUCCCGUUUGCAUCUCUACUGCUCUCAAUUCCAAAGUAAAUUUUCCAUCUAAAUCUAAUCACUUGAAAAAAUUCCUUUGUUUCCAUGAUAACUAUACCAAUGCACGUAAUGUUUUUCUCUGUUUUUCCUCUAAUGCUAGAUUGAGUCUGUUUUUCCUUUAAUGUUUUUCCAACUCGAUUAGUUUAUUCAGGUGGUUUCUUCCUGUAGAAAACAACAUAUCAUGACAUUUCAAUCUUGUGUUUGCUAUUUCAGGGCUCAUUCACUCUACAUGCGUUUUAGAUGAUUUUUCUACAAGAUUUCAACUCUUACACCUUGUUUGGCACAUGUGGGUUUCUUACGUUUUCUAUUUCUACUCUACAAUCUUAAAAUCAUGUUCUCCUUCUGACCUUUGUUCUCAAAUUUAUCUAAAUACGGAUGUAUCUAUGUUUAAAAAAUGUCUAUAUAUAUUUAUAAUAUUUCAGUAACUAAUAUGAAUCGGAGCAACUAACUCGAACGAGCCCUCGGUGUUUGAAUAUUUAAAUACUCCUGAAUGCAAGUAUAGUUCUGCACUCCUACUGCAGCUUGCUACCACGAAACUAAACAUUUCUCUUUCUGCAGCCCCCGACUCGAUCUAGCCGCAGUCCAUGUCGUUCUUUUCGCCCUGGCGUGUGCAAGAGUCGAACCCAUAGUGUGAACAAUUGAGUUAGGCACGAGCCGGAGAGGAGGAGAAAGGACAAAUUAUUGCUCAGAUUAAUCAUCACCUCGAUCGUUGCGGCGCAAUACCGUUAUAUAACGACGGAAUACGGGCCCACACGUCAGUGUAAAGCGAGCUGCUUGCCGCUUUCUCCCUCUUGCGUGACGCCGUCGCCGUCCAGAGCCAUCUGGCCACCGGGCUCCCAGCCCCCCACAGAUGUGCCCCCUGCAUGCGCGCCAUGUAUCAGCCUCUGAUACGUCAGGCCAGGAACCAUCCUCAGCCGUCAGUUCGUCCAUCUCGACGGCUGCGAUCGCGCUGCCGCCACUUAUAAAUAGCACCGAUGCACGCGCGAGAAAGUCCGUUUUACCUUGCUGGGGGGGGGGGGUUUUACUUACAUGAGCGCGGGAAUGGAGGCGGAGCUGGAGGCGGCUCAGCGGCGCUUCCGGCUCUGGUUCCGCGGGCUGCGUUCCCUGCGGCGGGACCUCCGGUCGGCCCGCUGGGCCGGCGACGACCCGGCCCAGCUGGGGAAGCUGGCGGGCGGCUUCGUGGCCCACUUCUCCGACUACUGCGCCGCGCGGGCCGAGCUGGACCCGGUCCUGCUGCUGUCGGCGCCCUGGGCGAGCCCCGCGGAGCGUGGCGCCGCCUACUGGCUGGCCGGGUGGCGGCCGACCACGGUGGUCCACCUGCUGUACACCGAGUCCAGCCGCCGGUUCGAGGCGCAGCUCCCUGACCUGCUCCUGGGCGUGCGGUCGGGCAACCUGGGCGACCUCAGCCCGGCCCAGCUGGCCCAGAUCGACGAGCUCCAGCGCCGCGCCGUCGCCGAGGAAGACGCGCUCUCAAGGGAGAUGGCGCGGCUGCAGGAGGGCCACGGCGUCGUUGGCGGAGACGGGGAUCUGGACGUGGAGGGGAUCGUGAGGCGCGCCGGGGCCGUGGUGGCAGGGGCCGACGCGCUGCGGCUGCGCACCUUGAAGCGCGCCGUGGAGAUCCUCGAGCCGGCGCAGGCCGCCGAGCUGCUCGUCGCCAUGGCCGACAUGGAGAUCGGCUUCCGGGAGUUCGGGCUAAAGCACGGCGACGGCGGUGGCGAGCCGAGCCGCGGCGCGUAGGCAUAGGCGUGGCGCGGUCCAGAGAGCAGAUCCUCAUCCGCAUCGGCGGCUCGGCCCAGUUUUUUUCUUCCAAGUGUUUGCGCUGGUUUGACUGGGACAGAAAGACUGCUCACUGUUGUAAUCUUGUUGCCGUGACGAUUGUCUUUGCCGAACUGUCUCGCGGUGGGUGCUGCGUCGUAGCUGGACCGUGUGCGUGUGCGUGUGCGUGCGCGUGCGCCUGCUGGGAUGUCGUGUGAGAAAGCAAUAAAAUGCAAGGAAUGCAUGCUUGGUUUCGUUGAGAAGUCAUAUUUUGUUUUCGAGCAAGCGGUUUUUUUAACAUCUUUUCCGAUAAAUUGGCUGUUUGUCUGUUCACUACAGAAGACCCGUCCUUUUAAAAACGGUUUUGCUAUUAAUAAAUCCAUGUUUUAGUUAGAGUAGUCAUAGGAUUUUAAUCCAAUGAUAGCAAGUGAGAGAUGAGAGAACGAGGAUGACUCUCAGAUCUCCAGCAGUUAUGAAACGUCGACUGAUAUUUAAGGUUCAUUUUUUAAAAACUUGCGACUUAGAAAUAGCCAUACCCAUUUAAAAAACGUGUUAAAUCUUAUUAAAAUAAGAUUCUGAUCGAUAACUUAUUUUUAAUAGGUAUUGCUACGGAAAAGUUGUUUUUCUAGUUAAAGAUAAGUUGAAACACCAACUGUCAUAUCUUGAUCCAACGGCGGCACAUUGAAGAUGGGGUGUAGCUGCUAGCUUCGGCAUUGAAGAUGGCGUCAUGGUAGGGAGAAGCUAUCAAGUUAUCCGAGAUAGAGGAGGCACUGAUGGAACACAUCCGCUUGCUAGGCUUGUAAUCGGACAAAUAAUUCAAACAGCUUUGCUAUUCAUAAGACAAUUGAGAAAUAAUUAUUUUCAAGCCGACGCUAACAAUCGUUUAAUCCAAUCUCUGAUAUGUGUGAGAUCUAUACAAGUGUUGUUGACUGAAAAUAACUGCUUCCUCCGCGCCUGGAUACUCGUCGUGGUCCGGAAAUCCAACCAGUUGUUCGUUCGAGCCAGAUCCAAACGACACCGGACAGACAACCACGGGCGGUUCUACCGUGCCGCACGGUCACGCGCCCAAUUAACCGGCCACACGGCCAAGCGAAUCCAGGAUUAAAAAUAGGAAUCGCGUACAAUUACCGGCCACCCAGCCAGGCAGCCCGCAACGAUAAACCAGCAGUCUCCCGCUCCAUGUUUGGGAGCCAUGCCCAACUACAAACCCAACGUUUCCAAGCUGGCCGCCGCGCCCCGCGACAUCCACACGGCAGAUUAACCCUUCUUCUCCUUUCCUUCCUUCCUCCCUCUCCGCGCGCGCGCGACCUCCCGCAGACCCGCCUCCGCGAAUCUAGCCACCCCCGCGCGUGCGCCACGCACCGUCCGUCCGUCGGACCUCGGCCGGGCCGGCCCGCGGUCGUCGGCGCGCGGAGGGCGUUCGUGAGAAUGCGUGCGGCGGCGAUUGGUUGCUAGCUAGCUAGCGGCAUGCCUGGCAUGAGCGCGUGAUGGCGCCGCCGUUCCUGAAGACCGGGCACGGCCGCGACAGGUUCUCCUUCAGGCGGCGGAAAUCGUCCUCCUCCUCGUCCUCCUCGUCGACGCCGUCUUCUCCGCUCUCGGUGUCGUCCACAGCGUCGGAGGACAUCGCCGACCCGGGCAGCCCCAUGGAGUCGUCAGCGACGACGGGCAAGACGCUGCCCUGCGCCCGGCGGGCGCUCUCGCGGAGCAGCUGCGGGUCCAGGGGCAAGCUGUCCGUCGACCUGAUCCCGCCGCCGCUCGCCGGCGGCCCGUCCGACGCGCCCAGGUCCUCCACCUCCGCCGCGCCGCCCCCCAAGCCUCCCCCCCGCAACGAGGGCCCGCCUUCAGGUCUCACCAUUGUUAAUUUUCUAGUGUCUGUCUGACUUUCUGUCGUCAAAUGCAGAGAAAUGCCUUGUUAUGUUUUCGUGAUCGAUUGCAUGUAUCCAGAUGCUGACAUCGUGAGGGACAAGUUCUCCAAGCUGCUGCUGGGGGAGGACAUGUCCGGCACCGGCAAAGGGGUGUCCUCUGCCCUCGCUCUCUCCAACGCCAUCACCAAUCUUGCAGGUAAUCUCUCCCUUACCUUCCAUUUCCGAUCUUUCCAUUUCCAAUAACAGUCCCUGUCUUUCAAAUCUUCCCAUUCUGUCCGUUGGGUUCUGAUGGAUACUGACACGAUCAGCUAUGAUUUCUUUCUCAUGACGUGGCACAUUGCAGCUUCCGUGUUCGGUGAGCAGCGGCGUCUCCAGCCGAUGGCCGCAGAGCCGAAGGCCCGAUGGACAAAAGAAAUUGACUGGCUUCUGUCCGUUGCCGACCACAUCGUCGAAUUCGUUCCUUCACGUCAGGUGUCCGAGGAUGGCUCCACCAUGGAGGUCAGAAACAAGAGGAUCCUUGCUUAUCACAAGUACCUGGAUGUAGUUCUGUAUCACGGAACAUCUUUAUGCAAAUCCAAUUACAGCGGUGCUAUUUUUCUCUCUCUCCCCCCAAACAGAUAAUGAUGACUCAGCAGCGUAAGGAUCUGCAGAUGAACAUCCCCGCACUGCGCAAGCUCGACGGGAUGCUCCUUGUAAAGCUCUGCCACAUUCUUCUUUGAAAUCAUUUACGAGAAUGACAUGCGUGGAGAUACCUGAUGAAUUGCUAAUAUGCUAUGGCUGCACAUUUCCUGUUGUGGGGGCACAGAGCUAUCUUGACAGCUUCAGGGACAAGCAGGAGUUUUGGUACGUGUCGAAAGACGCAGAUGACUCGGAGAAGGGAGACGCGCCGAAGCAGGAUGACAAGUGGUGGCUCCCGACUGUCAGGGUCCCUCCUAAUGGUCUGUCGGACUCGUCGAGGAGGUGGCUUCUACACCAGAGGGAGCUCGUCGGCCAAGUCCAUAAGGCAACAAUGGCCAUCAAUGCUAAUGUUCUUAUGGAGAUGGAUGUUCCAGAAGCCUAUAUGGAGUCUCUGCCUAAGGUGACCCAUAUGAACACAGCAACAUUGCAUAACAUUUUUCUUUACUUCGGUUCACUGCAUUUAGAGGGAUCGAGACUCACUUUGACAGCAUCUUCUUUUUUUAUGCUUGAUAGAAUGGAAAGUCUAGCCUUGGAGACUCAAUGUACAAGCUUAUAACUGACGAAUAUUUUGACCCAGAAGAACUCAUAGCAUCAGUAGACUUGUCAGCCGAGUACAGCAUCGUUGAUCUGAAGAACCGAAUCGAAGCCUCGAUUGUCAUUUGGCAGAAGAAAAUGACGCAGAAGGAUGCCAAGAUGUGGGGGCAUGGUGUCAGUCAUGAGAAGCGGGGACGGUUUGAGGGGAGGGCGGAGAAUGUUCUUCUCCUCCUUAAGCACAGAUUCCCCGGAAUUUCUCAGUCAGCUCUGGACAUAAGCAAAAUCCAGUACAACAGGGUACUGGCAACCAUCUUCAAUUUUCCACUGUAUUUUCGGAUUUCCUACAGUACUUUAUUACUCAUGCUCAUUGCAUACAUUUUCUCGUUGUGAUUUUUUUGCAGGAUGUUGGCAGUGCCAUUUUGGAGAGCUACUCCAGGACUCUUGAGAGUCUAGCAUACACGGUUAUGUCUCGCAUCGAAGACGUUCUUCGCGCCGACUCCCUUGCUCAAGACCCCAAGAACGCGGAGGCGACGAGAAUGCCGAGCUUAUCAUCAGAUGACACAGACACGGUCGUCCAAGAUGCCAAGGACGAGGUGGAGAGGCUGGGAAGAAUGGAGCCUCUGAACUCGACACUAUUCGACUACGUGGGCCCACGGGACGGAGAUAUCGGGCCCAUGAUGUCGGAUUCACAGGAACCUCGGGGUGCAAAGCUGUCAAAGGUUUCGUCGAUCGCAACCAAGAGGUUCUCCUACCUAGAUAAGCUUGAGAAUUUGGGUGGAACAAGGAGCCCCAUAUCUAGACACUAGUCGCUGCCGUAGGGGAAAAGACGAUCAAUAUGGUGUUGAUGUUGCUGCAGAGACUCCGGGGAAAACUGCACGUAAAUAGCUCCGCAAAAACUGAGGGUGCAGCAUGCAUUGUGAGGUUUAUGUAAGCUUUCAAGCUUUCAGGCACCAAUACCUCCAAUUUGGUGCAGUUGCCAAGACAAUGUGAUGACGAUUCUCCUGCUAAAUUUACAUGAAAUAACCACAAGAUUCUGACACUGGACCUGAAAAUGGACCUCCAGAUUUUCUUACUGUACUUCUGUAGCAAAGUUUUGUGGUUCCAGUAAAGUGUUUGUUAUCUUAGACUUGACUUGCAGACCAUGCUUGGGUUCGGCUAGUGUUCUCCCCACGUACAAUUUAAGAGGGUAAUAACAUAUCACUGAACUUGGAGAUCGAUCUGUGUUAGCUUCUGGCGUUCUAGAUCGGCACUGUAAUAAGUAACUGUAACUGUACCAUGGCUCUAUGCAUUGGGAAAUUAAAACCACUCGUAUGAGUAAAUCAAUUUACAGGAACAAAUGAGCAGUAAAAAGCAUCCUUCCGGUUGCUGAUAGUACGUGCAGCUAGGCACGCCAUAUGAGUACAUACAACGAAGGACUUAACGUCCAGAUACGCAGAUCCAUGGUACACAAGCACAGGCAUAUGCAGGAACAGAUUCAGAGAGAGAGAGAGAGAGAAAGAAACUGAAACCAAAGCUUUAAUCAAAUCAGAUCAGAUCUUGCCGCGUGGGCCGGGGGUGGGGGGAAGCUGCGGCCCCUUCUUGAUGGGCAGCAGGUCCGGCGACGUGGUGGCGCCGAGGUAGGCGAUCAGGGACCCGCCGCCGAGGAGCAGGAACUUGAGCAGCAGGCCGCGCUUGGUGAAUGGCGCCGCGAAGGUCUGGAAGAACUUGCUCUGCAGCCCGUUGUAAGGGGACGGCGCGUCGGACCCGUACAGGUCCCACUGCCCCGUCGUGUUGCCGAUGUCGUCCAGGUCGAAGUACACGCUCUUCUCCCCGUACUUCGCCUGCACCGCGACGCCUCGUGCAGGCCUGCAGGCGUACGCGCACGCGUAUAUAUACGGUUAUUUAUACGUAUGUACAUACGCUCGAUCGAUGACAUAUUAGCUCGCUUCACGUGCGUACCUG